CGGGUGAGUAACGCGUGGGUAAGUUGCCUUUAUGUUCGGGAUAGCCCUCUGAAAAGAGGAUUAAUACCGGAUGUGGUCGCCCCGAGCAUUCGGGGUUGUCUAAAGGUGGGGAUUCUUCGGAACCUGCCGCAUAGAGAUACACCCGCGUCCCAUCAGCUUGUUGGUAGGGUAACGGCCUACCAAGGCGAAGACGGGUAGCUGGUCUGAGAGGAUGGUCAGCCACACUGGGACUGAGACACUGCCCAGACUCCUACGGGAGGCUGCAGUCGAGAAUCAUUCACAAUGCGCGAAAGCGUGAUGAUGCGACGCCGCGUGGAGGAUGAAGGCCUUCGGGUUGUAAACUCCUGUCAGGAGGGAAAAAUUUCCCGGCCGCGAAUACCGGCUGGGGUUGAUGGUACCUCCAGAGGAAGCCACGGCUAACUCUGUGCCAGCAGCCGCGGUAAUACAGAGGUGGCGAGCGUUGUUCGGAUUUACUGGGCGUAAAGGGUGCGUAGGCGGCGUGGUGUGUCGGAUGUGAAAGCUCACGGCUUAACCGUGGAAAUGCAUCCGAAACUACCAUGCUAGAGUACAGGAGAGGUAAGUGGAAUUCUUGGUGUAGCGGUGAAAUGCGUAGAUAUCAAGAGGAACACCGGUGGCGAAAGCGACUUACUGGACUGUUACUGACGCUGAGGCACGAAAGCCGGGGUAGCAAAAAGGAUUAGAUACCCUUGUAGUCCCGGCCGUAAACGUUGUGUACUUGGUGUAGGAGGAAUUAUCCCCUUCUGUGCCGGAGCUAACGCGUUAAGUACACCGCCUGGGGAGUACGGCCGCAAGGUUAAAACUCAAAGGAAUUGACGGGGGCCCGCACAAGCGGUGGAGCAUGUGGCUUAAUUCGAUGCAACGCGAAGAACCUUACCAGGGCUUGACAUGCCUGUCGUACCCGAGUGAAAGUUUGGGGUCAUUUAGUUGGACGGUGCACAGGUGCUGCAUGGCUGUCGUCAGCUCGUGCCGUGAGGUGUUGGGUUAAGUCCCGCAACGAGCGCAACCCUUUUGGUUAGUUGCCACUCCCUUCGGGGAAGCACUCUAACCAGACUGCCCGUGAUAAGCGGGAGGAAGGUGGGGAUGACGUCAAGUCAGUAUGGCCCUUAUGCCCUGGGCUGCACACGUGCUACAAUGGCCGGUACAGAGGGAGGCAAGACCGCGAGGUGGAGCAAAUCCCCAAAACCGGCCCCAGUUCGGAUUGGAGUCUGCAACUCGACUCCAUGAAGUUGGAAUCGCUAGUAAAGGCGUAUCAGCUACGACGCCUUGAAUACGUUCCCGGGCCUUGUACACACCGCCCGUCACAUCAUGAAAGCCGACUGCACCCGAAGUCGUUGGUCCAACCCCUCGGGGGGGAAGACGCCGAAGGUGUGGUUGGUAAUUGGGAUGAAGUCGUAACAAGGUA
rnacentral:rRNA from 1 species